UACGGAGGGGGCUAGCGUUGUUCGGAAUUACUGGGCGUAAAGCGCACGUAGGCGGCUUUGCAAGUCAGAGGUGAAAGCCCGGGGCUCAACCCCGGAAUUGCCUUUGAGACUGCAUCGCUAGAAUUGUGGAGAGGUAAGUGGAAUUCCGAGUGUAGAGGUGAAAUUCGUAGAUAUUCGGCGGAACACCAGUGGCGAAGGCGACGCACUGGCCCGAUACUGACGCUGAGGCGCGAAAGCGUGGGGAGCAAACAGG
rnacentral:rRNA from 1 species